UGGGGAAUUUUGGACAAUGGGCGAAAGCCUGAUCCAGCAAUGCCGCGUGUGCGAAGAAGGCCUUCGGGUUGUAAAGCACUUUUGUCCGGAAAGAAAUCCGCCUGGCUAAUACCCGGGCGGGAUGACGGUACCGGAAGAAUAAGCACCGGCUAACUACGUGCCAGCAGCCGCGGUAAUACGUAGGGUGCGAGCGUUAAUCGGAAUUACUGGGCGUAAAGCGUGCGCAGGCGGCUUUGUAAGACAGAUGUGAAAUCCCCGGGCUCAACCUGGGAACUGCAUUUGUGACUGGAAGGCUAGGGUGCGUCAGAGGGAGGUGGAAUUCCGCGUGUAGCAGUGAAAUGCGUAGAGAUGCGGAGGAACACAGAUGGCGAAGGCAGCCUCCUGGGAUGACACUGACGCUCAUGCACGAAAGCGUGGGGGGCAAAC
rnacentral:rRNA from 1 species